AAUUUAUGAGUAUGUGAUUGAAUGGAAUAAAAUCUUCCUCUAGUACAAAAAUAUUUUAACAUCAUAGAUGUAUCAUUACCUUCAUUAGCUGACUGUAAAUGGCACAUUUGCCCAAGAAUACCAAAAUUUCAAAUCUACACAGGAAGUUCUUUGACAGAGAGCAGAAUAUAGAGUAAAUAUUUGGGAGAGUGUUUCCCUAAAUAUUUUACUAUGUGCAGCUUAUUUCAUCUUGGAAGUUAACAGUAAUUAACAGAAUGCACCAGGUAUAGCAUCAUAUGUGUAUAUAAAGUAUCAGCACACAUGAAUGAAUUGAGACAUGUUUAGUGAUCCAAUGUAUUGUGUUCAAAGGCUCCAUCCAACAGUUCAAAGACAUGUCAUAGCAGUGAAGCAAAUGGUGGCAAACGAUGGUUUUGUGGUGGUUAGUGAAAAACUGUGGCAAUCUACAUUGGUGGUGGCAAACACUGACAGAAAAUUUCUGGAUCAGCAGUGACAUGAAGUUGAAAAUAAUGACAUAUUUUACACUGUACUGUCACUACUGAAGAUGUAAUUGAGAAAAUUAUUUGAUAAAAAACGUUAUGGCUAUCAGUGGAAAACAUUGAUAUACUAAAAUAAGAGUGGAACUGACAUUUUAACACUAUUGUUUGUACUAUUAUACAUCACCUAAUUCAAAAUUCAUAAGCAUUUUUGUUAUAUUAUAGACUUGGCAUUGAAAAACAUAGUUGUUUAAAGAUCUAAAUAAUAUCGUUAUUGUUCUAAAUUAGUUUAAAUGCUGACUGAUUUAGGAACAAUCAAAAUAAAAGGUUGAUUAACAUUUUAUAUUGUUUCAGUUUUAUUGCGUGACCUUACAUUUAGAUUUGUGAUCACUUUUCUGUCUGUCUAUAAAUCUGUAUCAGUCAAAAAUGAUAGUCAGUUCUUAGAUUUUGAUUUUUUUUGUAAAUUAAGGGUAUAUUUUUACUUGUCUGUUACUGUGUUUUAAUUUUCUUUUAAUGCUCUUUCAUAUGCAGACCUAAU